rnacentral:rRNA from 1 species
UACAGAGGUCACGAGCGUUAGGCGGAAUCACUGGGCUUAAAGCGUGUGUAGGUGGAUCGGUAAGUCCCUUGUGAAAUCCCACGACUCAAUCGUGGAACUGCUUGGUAUACUGCCAGUCUUGAGGCACUCAGGGGCGAGCGGAACAGAUGGUGGAGCGGUGAAAUGCGUAGAUAUCAUCUGGAACGCCAAUGGUGAAGACAGCUCGCUGGGGGUGUACUGACACUGAGACACGAAAGCCAGGGGAGCAAACGGG